GCAUUGGUGGUUCAGUGGUAGAAUCCUCGCCUGCCACGCGGGGGGCCCGGGUUCGAUUCCCGGCCAAUGAA
rfam:Ciona savignyi cont_29888, whole genome shotgun sequence.